CGUAGGAGGCGAGCGUUGUCCGGAUUUACUGGGCGUAAAGCGCGCGCAGGCGGCACACCAAGUACAACGUGAAAUCUCCCUGCUCAACGGGGAGGGUGCGUAGUAAACUGGUGAGCUAGAGGACGGUAGAGGGGGGUAGAAUUGCUGGUGUAGCGGUGAAAUGCGUAGAGAUCAGCAGGAAUACCCGUGGCGAAGGCGGCCCCCUGGGCCGAACCUGACGCUGAGGCGCGAAGGCUAGGGGAGCGAACGGGAUUAGAUACCCCGGUAGUCCUAGCAGUAAACGAUGGCCACUAGGUGUGGGGGGUGUUGACCCCUUCCGUGCCGAAGCUAACGCAUUAAGUGGCCCGCCUGGGGAGUACGGUCGCAAGACUA
rnacentral:rRNA from 1 species